ACAUGUAGUUUUUCAUCUGGAGGAAUUGGGAGCCUCAAACAUCCCAAGCCAUGAUUAUCCAUCUUCUACAAUUUUUAUUUUGUGAAUCUUUUUGUUGUUCUUGAUUCACAAUUCUAGUCUAUGUUUUUAUUGUUCUUUCAAGUGAGAUUUAUAACAAGUGAUAUCUAGAGCCUAAUGAUCCUUCAUGAGGGACGGGGUACCUUUCCAGAAACAACAAGAAAAUUUGCUGACGAGGGAGAAAAUCCUUGAAGCAAUGUUGCAAUUCAAGGAAUUAUUCAAUCGAAAUCCUUUAUGGAAUCGCAAGGCCACGAGAAUGAAGAAAACUUGGCAGCUACGAAUUCAACUAAAAAAACACAAAAAUGGGUAGUGCAUGGAGAAAAUGAAAUGAAGGAUGAAGAAGAAGUCUCAGAGGAAGGUGUCAAAAAUGUAGUGGAGGUCAAAGAGAUUUUUGUGGUACCCACGAGAGUUCAUCUAAAAAAUAUUCUACUCUUUACUCUCCAUGCCCAGACUCUAAUUCGUAACCCUCGAAUAAUCCUCCCCAUGGGCAACACCCGUAUCUACCACAUUCACCCUCACCAAACCAUUCCUGAGGUUCUCUUCUCUCCUGAGAACCUCCCUAGUCACUGAGCCAUCGUCUUGUUUAACAUCCCUACACACACCCUUGGUCGAGUCAGAGUGGGUGGUGGGUUUUUUAUCUGGGCCUUCAAAUCUCCCUCGUCGUUUUCCAUGACGACAAGUUGAUUUUGUGAGAGUGGGUGACAUCUUCCUCUCAACAAUCCCAAAUAUCAGUGCUCGGCCUAGGGUUUGGGGAAGGUAAUUGUGCUAUUAUGAAAUCCUUGAGUGUCGAAGCCUUGAGUGACCAAGGGUAGUGCGAUGUCGUCUUUGAUCAGUUCCACUGAACAUGGGAAGAGACGCUGGGCAAGGGGACUCAUUUCUUGGUCCCAUGGCUCCAAAAACCAUUCAUCCAAACUAAGGCCCACAUCGAUGUGCUUGUCUCCGACGCCAAAGACCUCUAGAGGGUCAAGCUGAACCUUCAAAUCCUCUAUCAUCCCAAAAGCCUCGAAACCAUAAUAGCUAAUGAAUGGUUUAAAAAAAAAUUCAGUUGGCGGUUGAUUAUGGUGCAAGCCACCACCAAGCCAAUAGUGGGAGUCACUAGCUGUUGAUCUUGAAGGAGCCUAUUGGUUGCGAGAUCGAGCAACAGUAUGAUCUUGGUUGCGAGCUGGGUCACAAUGAGUUCUGCAAUCACCAGGUCACUCGGUUGUUGUUGCUAUUUUUUCAAGUCAUUACUUCUAAAAAGAAGCUCUGGAAUGCCGUAAGCUGGAUCAUUGGCACUGCCGUAGUCAUCUUCUCUGCUCUUCCAUCUCCCUUGGUGAUCAAAGAUAGGCAAUUUGUGGAAUGGUGCAUAGCUGACGAGCAAACCUCAGAUGAUGAGCUGCAGACACUAGACUAGGUUUGUCGAAAAGGAGGUGCAGACUACAGCACCAUACAAGCAGCACACCAGUCGUGUUUCUUACCAAAUACAAUAAGGGACCAUGCCUCUUUUGCAUUCAAAGACUAUUACCAGAAGUUCAAGAACAAAGGAGCUACUUGCUAUUUCAACAUUGCUCAUUGCUACAAUCAUCAAAGGCUGUUGAGUGGCAGAACUCCUUUUCAUAUGUUGGUGACAAAUUAGAUGAGGGGAUGAAUACUGCACCUCAACUGCUUGAUAUAUUGUUACUUUUGGGUGUUUUGUGGUAUGAGACAUUUCUUAGAGUUGGACCCAUGAACUGUGCUUACAUUGUCUUUGAACAUAUUUACUUUAAGGAUUAUGCUGUGGCUUUUUUGUCUUUACAGCUCCUUCAAUUAUCAUUUUAUUGGCCUUUUGAUAGAGGAAAAGAACUAGACUAUUGGAGGGAUGAUCUUGUAUUAAUGGCUUUUGAGUCAACUUGUAUUUGGAAGGAUAAAGAUAUACUUUGUGUGAAAGGAGGGGCGAUUCAGUGGUUGAUACUUCUAGGUAGGUGAAGGAUUGGACUCUCUCGAGGUAGAUGAGAAUGUGGAGGUAGAUGACUGCAAGGACCAAAUCAAUAGAUUGUCUUAUGAUGUAGAGUGCCUCCCAAAGUAUAGGGCUGAUCUUGUUGUCAUUAAAGAUCAACAAGAUCAAUUCAAGCAAUUCUUACUAGAGAGCGAUAAACUGUCACGUGCACUAAAUUUGUCAGCCAAGAACAAAUUUAUUUUCGAGAAAGAUUAGUCCAAGACUCCAACAGCGACACAUGGUGUCUCUGAAGCAAGGAGGGAAAUUCAGGUUCUAUUUGAGAUUCAGGCAAUGAAGUUUUGAUGUUGCUUGAGGUCAGAAUAUUUCAUCAUGAUAUUAAAGUGGCCGUUAACCAAGCUUCAUGCAUGGUUUUGCAUGCGAUAACUCCGCCCUUGCCAUGAAGAAGCAUGGAAAAAUUCUCACUGUUGAUUAAGAAAAAUAUUACUUUUGAUCGUUCAGAUAUGUGCUUGAGUUUUGAGAAUAUUUCUUCUGUUAUGGAGAAGUUGUGCAUGUGGGAGGAGAAGCUCUAUACUAAAGUCAAGGCCCAAGAAAUAUUUCGUGCAGUACACGAGAAGAAGUGCAGUGAGCUGAAACUUUUGAUUGCAAUUGGCCAAGACUUUACUGUUAGAUUUGUUGUUCUCAUUUAUUUAACUCUACUCAAUGCAUUGGGGGAUGUUCUAGUGAAUCUGUACAAGCCUAUCCUGGCUGAAACCCUAUUAUAUUUCUUCAAAAUCCAUUUGAACAAAAUGAUAAGGAACACCACUCAAAACUUGUUGUUGGAAAUUGACAUGUCUAUUAAGGCCUUAGAAAGCUCCACAUGCUAGCCUAUUUGAGAGGCUAUUAAUUUUCUAAACCUUGAGGACAAGGGUUUUUUUGGAGGGGAAGGCAAUGUAAUACACCCAAUUUUCAUGUGCUAAGCAUACUCGAUGGGCCUCAUAAUAUUCCGUUAGGCCUAGUUGUUUACAACAGUAGUUUCGCUUAGGAUUAUCUAAUGCAGUUGCUCUAUGUUAUAUGGUGUUGUUUUACUUAUUUUAAAAUAUAAUAAUAAAGUCUAGGGUAUUUUUGUAAA